rnacentral:rRNA from 1 species
GAUCAUGGCUCAGAACGAACGCUGGCGGCAUGGUUAGGCAUGCAAGUCGAACGGGAGCAGCAAUGCUCCAGUGGCGCAAGGGUGAGGAACACGUGAACAACCUGCCUUCGAGUUGGGGAUAGCUUCUGGAAACGGGAGAUAAUACCGAAUAACAUCAUUGGAUCGCAUGAUUUGAUGAUCAAAGCAGCAAUGCGCUUGAAGAGGGGUUCGCGUCCCAUUAGCUAGUUGGUGAGGUAACGGCCCACCAAGGCGAUGAUGGGUAGCUGGUCUGAGAGGACGAUCAGCCACAUUGGGACUGAGAUACUGCCCAGACUCCUACGGGAGGCUGCAGUCGAGAAUUUUGGGCAAUGGACGAAAGUCUGACCCAAGCAAUGCCGCGUGCGGGAUGAAGGUCUUCGGAUUGUAAACCGCUGUCAAGAGGGACGAAACAUGACGGUACCUCUGGAGGAAGCCACGGCUAACUACGUGCCAGCCGCGGC